GGACCCGCUGGAGAGGAGAAACACACACACACACACACACACACACACACACACACACACACACACACACACACACACAAUUAGAAAUGAUUUUGAAAUAUUUCUGUAACUUUGUGGAACUGUCUGAUCUUACAGAGUAAUUAAGUCUAAUAAAGUCUGACUUCAUGACUGAGUUUCAUUGAGUACUUUAUUAUUUGACAUCAGUUUCAGUGCAGAGACAAAACAAACAUGUUCCACACUGUAAUUUAUCUGGGAAAAAUCAUUUUUUAUAACAAGUGUUAUUACUUUAUAGUUCAAACCUUCAGCAUAUUUAACUGCAGCAAAUACAAAUGUAGCUGAUUACAGAAAUAUUCAUUGUUUAACACAAACACACACAGCAGCUUUCAUCUGGAUUUUACAUCCGCACAAAGUAACUCUAUUUAUUAAAUGUUUAUUAUAGAGGAACUGCAGAGUUAUUGCAUGUCGAAUAUAUAGCGAGUGUGUAAUUAUUACAUAUUUAACAUCAAUAAUUGUAGAUUUGUUGAAUGUUCAAGAACAUUGAUAUGGGAUCUGUUCUGAUACUGAAAUGUGUUCCUCAUCAGAGCUUAAUAAUACACAAUAACAUCAAUGAUGCAAUUAUAAACAUAAAUAAUCUGUUUAGUUUAAGUUUAUUUAUUCAUGUAAUUAGUAAUGAACUAAAUGGAUUUUGUGUUAAAAGAAGAAAACACACUUACUGUUCACCACGAGUUUGGAGCCUCCACCAAAAGUCCACCACAGUGAUACAUUCUAAUGAAACCAUCGUACAAAAACCUCCAUCACACUGCAGUGCACACACACACACACACACACACACACACACACACACUCUCUCUCUCACACACACACACGCAGGCACAUACACACACACACACACACACACACACACACACACACACACACACACUUUGCAUUGCCAGUCCAUGCUUCAGUGCUCUGCGAGUGUUUAUAGCCCUGUGACUUUAACACUUCAUGACUGAGAGCUGCUGCUCAGCAACUUCACCCACAGCAACCAUGACUUUGAUCAGCGUCUUCAUCUGCACACUGGCCCUCUGGACUCAAGGAUCCAGAGGUCAGGUGACUGUGACUCAGACUCCUUCAGUGCAAACUGUUGAUCCAGAAGAAACAGUCACCUUCAACUGUAGAACCAGUAGCAGUGUGAAUGAUGGCAAUGACCUAUUCUGGUACCUGCAGAAACCUGGAGAAGCUCCUAAACUCCUGAUCUACUGGGCUACUAACUUACAGUCAGGAACUCCAGCUCGUUUCAGUGGCAGUGGAUCUAAUACUGACUUCACUCUGACCAUCAGAGGAGUCCAGACUGAAGAUGCAGGAGAUUACUACUGUCAGAGUUACCAUAGUGGUGGAGUGUUCACACAGUGUUAGAGCACCGUACAAAAACCUCGGUCAGUGAGAGUGCACAGAGAAGCACUGCUGCAGCUGGGAGCGACUGCAGGUGCUGAGGGGGAGGAUGUGAUACAGCACAAUGACACACACUGUGGACGAGAGAAAACACACCACACUAACUCACUAAUGCACACACACAUCUGUGAGAGGAGUCCACCUUUCUCAGCUGUGGACAUACAAACUAUUCCUCAUCAUUCUCUUUCACUGCUUAGUAAUUAUCUUUAUCCUCAUUUAAAUCAUUA